UAAAAAGGGGAAAGGAGUUCACUGAAAGCAAUUCCAGGAACAAAAGCAACCUAUCACUUUUUCUUUUAUUUCCUUUCCAUUUGUGACAUCAAAAGAAAUAAAAAGUAAAGUUAUUGAAAGAAAGAAAAAAGACAUCGGAGAAGGGAUCCCCGUAGCCUUAAGGAGCAUAUGAGCUAGGAAAUUUUGUGGCUACUCCAAAGUAUCUCAAGAAUUAGUUUAAACAAUCUCUAGUUGGAAAUUUGAACUCCAAGAGCUAGUGAAUUGCGUAUCGAAUAGAAGCUGCUAGUGGUUGGAAGGAUAAAGGCUUCAAUAUCGCGGGUUAAAUUAUUUGAGGCUCAAAUUACUAUCGUAGUUAAUAAAGCAUUAAGGCUCAGAUCCUCAGGAUAGCAGACGUCCACAUUAUGCCCUAUUGCCGCUUUCAACUAAUAUUUUGUUUUCUUAUGCAGCCCCAGAUCCUUAGGAUAGCAGACGUCCACAUUAGGCCAUGUUGCCGCUUUCAGCUGAUAUUUUGGUUAUCGGCAACACUGAUAAAUCAAUAGGCAUUGAGUCUGGUGAUGCUACAAUGGAGGAUGUUUAUUUUGAUUGGAACCGCAGUCCUAUACAUCAACAAUCUGAGGUUACACAUCUCAUAUUUUAAUGCUUUCAAUUAAAACAAUAAACUUAGUUAUGUAUAUGUUUUAUGUUAUCUCUACAAGGAUAUUGAAGGAUGUAGUGAGAAUAUUGAAACUGUCACAUUAGAUGCUCUUGUCGAAUCUGUGGAAAAUCAAAAAUCGAAUAACCCUAAUAUUGGAACAUCUAGUACCGUGAAUAUCCAUAAAGAUCAUAUGGUAAAUACAUGAAGUCAUUUUUUUCAUAUAUAGGUCAAAUAUGUUAAAAAUCUCAUAUUUUAAUGCUUACAAUUAAAACAAUAAGAAUUAAAACAAUAAGAUGACUUACUUUUAUAUAUGUUUUAUGUUAUCUAUUCAAGAAUAUUGAAGGAGGUAGUGCGGAUAUUAGAACUGCCACAUUCGAUGCUCUCGUCAAAGCUGUGGAAAAUAAGAAACCUAAUAAUGUUAAUGUUGGAACAUCUAAUACGGUGCAUAUCCAUAAAGAUCAGUGGGUAAACUCAUAAAAUCAUUUUUUUAAAUUACGUGUCUAAUUUUUCACAUAUGACACUACUUUUACUAAUGCUUUUAACCAAAACUAACACUAAAAACAUAAUAUUUAAUGUUAAGAUGAUUACUCAAGUACACUUCCUAAAUCUGCUCAAGAUGAGUUAGAUGCCAUAUUAGAAGGUCUUGCAGCACCGGUGAAUGAACUACCUCUAGAAGUCGCUCCCCCGUCAAAAGAAAUCGUGACUCAACACCCUAUAUCUGAUAGUCAAUUUCCUCCAGAUUUUUUUGAUGCAGUUGUUGCAGCUCAUAAAGCUAUAAAAACCCCUGCUAAGAGAACCAGGACUGAAUCCAAAGUUUUAAAGUCAUCAUACUUGACAGAAUUUGCUUCUGGUUCAAAAGUCAUUGAGGAUCAAACCGAAGAAAUGAAAUAGAAAUUCGCAUUUGAUGGUUUUCUAAUAUCUGGCUAUAUGCCAAGGGGUGUAAUUAAACAGUACAAACAGUGGAUUAAGGAAGGUAUAUUGAAGUUUCAUGCUAAAAAGUAAGUUUUAUCAUUAGUAAAGUGGAAAUUUUUGUCAAUAGGAGUAUACUACUAUUUUUUUCGUACUAACAAAAUUUUUUUAUAUAUAUAAAAAUGAAUGAUGAUCACUACAAAGCAAAAGCCUCUGCUCUUGGAGCUCAAGAUAUCGAUUUUGUUGUUGCUCAUGCAUGAUCAAAGAAUUGAUUUUUCUUGAUGUCUCAAAUGAAUUCAUGUUGGAAUGAUGAGCAUAUUGAUGUGAUAUUCUAUCACUUGAGAAAGAAAUCAAAAUUAAGGGAAGAUCAAGAAUACAGAUUCACAACAACAAAUUAUUUUUUCAAAAACUACAUUGGAAGACAUACUAUAGAUAUUAUCACGGUGAUAUAGAUACAGUACUUUCUACACCAUGGAAUUAUGCUCAGUCUAUAGUUGUGGCCCAAAAUGAAGAGGCAAUAACAAACAUAAUCAAGGGAUAUUGCAUGCCAGCUGGGUUGCCAUGGCACCUAGUUGAUGAGGUGUAUAUUCCCGUCAAUUGCAAUAAAAAGUUUCAUUGGGUGUUAGCUGUUAUUGCCUUAAAGGAUAGAAGCAUAUGCGUCUAUGACUCACUGUCCAAUCUAAGAAAUAUGGAAUCCAUUAUUGAGAUCCACAAGUUGGUUGUGGUGUUGCCAACUUACUUGUCUUACAACGGAUAUUUUUAAAAAACAUCUCGUACAAAUUGGGCAAAUCUUGAAGCAUAUAGGGAUAAGAUGAGUCAAAAGACACAGUUUGUGAAUCAACAUCCCUUCGAGGUUGAGUAUGUACAAAACAUUAUGCAACAAUAAUGUGACAGCGUGAAUUAUAGAGUCUUUAUUGCUGGGUAUGCAGAAUACCUAAGUGAAGGAAUGGACGUGUCUUCUGUUGGUUUUGAAGCAGAAUACCAUCGAAUGUGAUACGCGUCACUCCUUUGGAAUUACGGUAUUCGAAAAGCAAAGAAAGGUUAUAUUAGUGAAAAUAAUGACCCUCCAAGACCAAGGACAAAAACUAUACCAUUUUCUGAUGAAAGUGGAAUAGUUAGCAUUGAGUAGUCUUAGUGAUGAAAUAGUGAAGACUUUUUCUAUGAAUUUGUUAGGAAUGUUGAAUGUUAAACUACUUUAGAUGUUUUGAACGGCAGAAUACAAAGAAUUUAUUUUUAGAGAUGAAUAUGAUGGAGACCUUUUUUUCUAUGAAUUUGUUAGGAAUGUUGAAUUUGAUGUUUCAAACAAAGAUAUGUUUGAACGAUGAGGAAAAAAUU